UUUCCAAAAUGUUAUCUUUAUUUAAUCAUAUACAAAGGAAAAUAUAAGUGUAAAGUAAUAACAAGUGCUUGUGUUCAUGAAAGACAGUGAGAUUAUCAAUGAAGAGUUAUAUUUGUGAAUCGUCUUCCUCCCUGUGAUCCUUGAACAAUGCCUGAUUGCUGUAUUAUCCCUUCUUGCACUUCAGGCAACCCCAAUUAUGAAAAACCCGAAUGUCUAACAGAUUUCCUCAUGAUCCAAAUGUGAGAAAAAAUUGGAUUAAAGCAAUCGAGAAAGUGAAAAAAAAUUAGAAUCAUCUAUCGAAUUUAAAAAAGUUGCAGUCAAUUUGCUCACUGAUUUUUCAUUCAGAUUGUUUCAUCACCGAGAGUGGUGAUUCGUUGAAUCAGAGGAAGAAAAAAAGGGAGUCUCAAGUUCUUCAACGGUGGAGAUUGAAAAAAGGGUCAAUUCCAAAUGUAUUCCUGAAUGCACCUUUCUACCUCAGCCAACCUUUUCCUGCAACUCGAGGAAUAAAUAGUCUCUCUCAAAAUAGAAAUGAAACUCUUCAACUUAGGCAUGAGUUUCCGGUGGAGGGUUAUUUUAAUGAUGCCAAAUGUGACUCCCUUUUGGACCUCAAAAAGAAAUUAGAUGAUACAGAACUUGUCGAUGGAUUUAAAGUUAGGAUGAGAAAAUGCUCAGAAGAAAUCACGAUUCACGAUGUCCAACAAUAAUGAUUAAUGCCCACAAAUCUUGAGUUGCUUACUUAUUAAGAAAGACUUGCAAUAUGAAGCUUUUUAAAAUGGUGUAAAGAUCUCUUAUUCUCUCGUUAAGUGUUACAUUAGCAGCCCUAAUUUUACGAAAGUAAAUUCCAUUCAUGAUAUCAGGUAGUUAAUUGUAAUGUAUUCGUGUCUCCUUCCCUCUGAUUCUUUUAUUUAUUGUAUUUUCUUGUAUUUAUAUAUAUUUGUAAAGUACUAUUUUUACCUUUUUAUAAGUAUAAAUAGUUAUGUAUUCUAUGUUUA
rnacentral:lncRNA from 1 species